CUUGGAGGAGGUGAUGACUAAGUCCUGAAGGCUGAAGAGGAGCCAGCUCUGUUCUGAGUUGAAGGAGGGGAGAGGUGGAGCAGGACAGGCAGAUAAUUUCUCACAGAGGAAACAGCGGGGUAGCUGCCUGGACCCCGCCUGAGGCCUUGCCUGCAGCUUCACGGAUUCACAUUGCCACCAGUUCUCUUCCUGGGGAAAUUAUUUCAGAAUAAAUCUUAAAUGCCCUGUUGCCUUUACUGAGUUCUGGCAGGUUCGUUCCUGGUGGUGAAACCAUCCCAGAAUGCCCAGGGGUAUUACAGAGGUGGCAGGCAGAUGCCACUCACAUCUCCAGUAUCCCUGGGGCUUCCUCAGAGGCCCUUCACUGAACACUGAACAGAAGUUUUGGCUAUUGCCAGCCAAAGGUUCUAUACCCUUCUGGGGGAUCCUGAGCACUGCUGGU